CCCAGACUCCUACGGGAGGCAGCAGUGGGGAAUAUUGCACAAUAGGGGAAACCCUGAUGCAGCGACGCCGCGUGAGUGAAGAAGUAUUUCGGUAUGUAAAGCUCUAUCAGCAGGGAAGAAAAUGACGGUACCUGAUUAAGAAGCCCCGGCUAACUACGUGCCAGCAGCCGCGGUAAUACGUAGGGGGCAAGCGUUAUCCGGAUUUACUGGGUGUAAAGGGAGCGUAGACGGUGAUGCAAGUCAGAAGUGAAAGCCCGGGGCUCAACUCCGGGACUGCUUUUGAAACUGUGUAACUGGAGUGCAGGAGAGGUAAGCGGAAUUCCUGGUGUAGCGGUGAAAUGCGUAGAUAUCAGGAGGAACACCAGUGGCGAAGGCGGCUUACUGGACGGUGACUGACGCUGAGGCUCGAAAGCGUGGGGAGCAAACAGGAUUAGAUACCCUCGUAU
rnacentral:rRNA from 1 species